GACGUAGGGCGCGAGCGUUGUCCGGAUUUAUUGGGCGUAAAGAGCUCGUAGGCGGCUUGUCGCGUCGAAUGUGAAAACUCGGGGCUCAACUCCGAGCUUGCAUUCGAUACGGGCAGGCUAGAGUUCGGUAGGGGAGACUGGAAUUCCUGGUGUAGCGGUGAAAUGCGCAGAUAUCAGGAGGAACACCGGUGGCGAAGGCGGGUCUCUGGGCCGAUACUGACGCUGAGGAGCGAAAGCAUGGGUAGCGAACAGG
rnacentral:rRNA from 1 species